UGGUCAUAUCAUGUUGAAAUACUGGUUCUUGUCUGAUCAGUGAAGUUAAGCAAUGUUGUGCCUGGUUAGUAUCUAGAUGAGUGAUUGCUUGGGAAUACCAGGUGCUGUAAG
rnacentral:rRNA from 1 species